UACGGAGGGGGCUAGCGUUGUUCGGAAUUACUGGGCGUAAAGCGCGCGUAGGCGGACCUGCAAGUCGGGGGUGAAAGCCCGAGGCUCAACCUCGGAACUGCCUUCGAUACUGCGGGUCUCGAGUCCGGGAGAGGUGAGUGGAAUUCCUAGUGUAGAGGUGAAAUUCGUAGAUAUUAGGAAGAACACCAGUGGCGAAGGCGGCUCACUGGCCCGGUACUGACGCUGAGGCGCGAAAGUGUGGGGAGCAAACAGG
rnacentral:rRNA from 1 species